AUCAAAUCAUUGAAAUAAAAAUUAUCCAUUCUGAUUCUGAUUCGAAAUCCCGACUCUCUCCAAUCAAGUAUCUCUUUAGAUAUUUAAAUAAUAUUUAUUUAUUUAUUUGUUUGUUUUUUCUUUCCUCUAAUAAUAGGUAUUUGAACAACCUUCACAUUUGCCUUCACAUACUAGCCAGAAGAGAUCUGCUGCGUAUAUAAAAAAAAGGCCUGUUGCCGUCAUGUGAUCAUCGUUGGGCUUUUCCUUUAUUCUUCUUUAAGUCGUAGUCAUAUUUUUUUGAAAUAAAAAUUACUACAACCAAGACAAAGCCGGAAUCUUUCCUUUUCUUUUGUUUUAACCCAAUUUUGGUGGAGGGCAACUUGC
rnacentral:lncRNA from 1 species